GACAGGUGGUGCAUGGUGUCGUCAGCUCGUGUCGUGAGAUGUUGGGUUAAGUCCCGCAACGAGCGCAACCCCUAUGUUAGUUGCCAUCAUUCAGUUGGGCACUCUAGCGAGACUGCCGGUAAUAAACCGGAGGAAGGUGGGGAUGACGUCAAAUCAUCAUGCCCCUUAUGACCUGGGCUACACACGUGCUACAAUGGUUGGUACAACGAGUUGCGAGUCGGUGACGGCGAGCUAAUCUCUUAAAGCCAAUCUCAGUUCGGAUUGUAGGCUGCAACUCGCCUACAUGAAGUCGGAAUCGCUAGUAAUCGCGGAUCAGCACGCCCGCGGUCGAAUACGUUCCCGGGCCUU
rnacentral:rRNA from 1 species